rnacentral:rRNA from 1 species
GUUUCCUACGGGAGGCAGCAGGGGGGGAUAUUGCACAAUGGGGGGAACCCUGAUGCAGCGACGCCGCGUGGGUGAAGGAGUAUUUCGGUAUGUAAAGCCCUAUCGGCAGGGAAGAAAUUGGACGGUACCUGACUAAGAAGCCCCGGCUAACUACGUGCCAGCAGCCGCGGUAAUACGUAGGGGGCAAGCGUUAUCCGGAUUCACUGGGUGUAAAGGGAGCGUAGACGGCCAUGCAAGCUAGGGGUGAAAGCCCGGGGCCCAAACCCGGGACUGCCCUUGGAACUGCAUGGCCGGAGUGCGGGAGG